rnacentral:rRNA from 1 species
UGGGGAAUUUUGGACAAUGGGGGCAACCCUGAUCCAGCCAUCCCGCGUGUGCGAUGAAGGCCUUCGGGUUGUAAAGCACUUUUGGCAGGGAAGAAACAGCCUGGGAUAAUACCCCGGGCGACUGACGGUACCUGCAGAAUAAGCACCGGCUAACUACGUGCCAGCAGCCGCGGUAAUACGUAGGGUGCAAGCGUUAAUCGGAAUUACUGGGCGUAAAGCGUGCGCAGGCGGUUCGGAAAGAAAGGUGUGAAAUCCCAGGGCUUAACCUUGGAACUGCACUUUUAACUACCGAGCUAGAGUACGUCAGAGGGGGGUAGAAUUCCACGUGUAGCAGUGAAAUGCGUAGAGAUGUGGAGGAAUACCGAUGGCGAAGGCAGCCCCCUGGGAUGAUACUGACGCUCAUGCACGAAAGCGUGGGGAGCAAACAGGAUUAGAUACCCUGGUAGUCCACGCCCU